UUAGUGGGAAAUUAAUGUAAGAACUAUAAAUAUUAAAGUAUUUUUUUUUAUUUAGAGAAAGUUGAUUAUCAUAAAGUUUUUAGAUGCAAGUGUCACACUAACGAUUGUCUCUUUCUAUGUAACUAGAUCAAAAAGGGCUCAUCAAGUCGUUCGUAUAUUUCACAAAUAGUGUGACUGGAAGUAUUGAAAAUUAAGUGGAAGGGAAACUUUGGUGAAAGAAUUGAUUUUUAGAAACAUUUAAUGGGCUACUAGUUUCAAAUAUGAGAAGACUUUUUGAUGGUUUGUGAAUUAUAGACCUUUAGGAGAAAUGCCAUUGGAAU